CCUACGGGGGGCUGCAGUCGAGAAUCUUCGGCAAUGGGCGAAAGCCUGACCGAGCGACGCCGCGUGCGGGAUGAAGGCCUUCGGGUUGUAAACCGCUGUCGUAGAGGAGGAAAUGCAAGGGGGUUCUCCCCUUUGUUUGACCUAUUCUAGGAGGAAGUACGGGCUAAGUUCGUGCCAGCAGCCGCGGUAAGACGAACCGUACGAACGUUACUCGGAAUUACUGGGCUUAAAGGGUGCGUAGGCUGCGCGGAAAGUUGGGUGUGAAAGCCCUCGGCUCAACCGAGGAAUUGCAUUCAAAACUACCGUGCUCGAGGGAGACAGAGGUAAGCGGAACUCAAGGUGGAGCGGUGAAAUGCGUUGAUAUCUUGAGGAACACCGGUGGCGAAAGCGGCUUACUGGGUCUUUUCUGACGCUGAGGCACGAAAGCUAAGGUAGCAAACGGGAUUAGAUACCCCAGUAGUC
rnacentral:rRNA from 1 species